GACCUGUUAGUUUAGUGGUAAAACAACUGUUUGUGGGACAAUCGCCUGCAGAGCGAUCGGUAUCAGUUCGAUUCUGGUAUGAACCU
rnacentral:tRNA from 1 species